AUUGUACGCUGGCGGCAGGCCUAACACAUGCAAGUCGAGCGGCAGCGGGAAAGUAGCUUGCUACUUUUGCCGGCGAGCGGCGGACGGGUGAGUAAUGCCUGGGAAAUUGCCCAGUCGAGGGGGAUAACAGUUGGAAACGACUGCUAAUACCGCAUACGCCCUACGGGGGAAAGCAGGGGACCUUCGGGCCUUGCGCGAUUGGAUAUGCCCAGGUGGGAUUAGCUAGUUGGUGGGGUAAUGGCUCACCAAGGCGACGAUCCCUAGCUGGUCUGAGAGGAUGAUCAGCCACACUGGAACUGAGACACGGUCCAGACUCCUACGGGAGGCAGCAGUGGGGAAUAUUGCACAAUGGGGGAAACCCUGAUGCAGCCAUGCCGCGUGUGUGAAGAAGGCCUUCGGGUUGUAAAGCACUUUCAGCGAGGAGGAAAGGUUGAUGCCUAAUACGUAUCAACUGUGACGUUACUCGCAGAAGAAGCACCGGCUAACUCCGUGCCAGCCGCCGCAGUAACAC
rnacentral:rRNA from 1 species